UAACGACUCUCGGCAACGGAUAUCUCGGCUCUCGCAUCGAUGAAGAACGUAGCGAAAUGCGAUACUUGGUGUGAAUUGCAGAAUCCCGUGAACCAUCGAGUCUUUGAACGCAAGUUGCGCCCYAAGCUGUUAGGCUGAGGGCACGUCUGCCUGGGUGUCACG
rnacentral:rRNA from 1 species